rnacentral:rRNA from 1 species
AACUUAAAGGAAUUGACGGGGGAGCACCACAACGGGUGGAGCUUGCGGUUUAAUUGGAUUCAACGCCGGAAAUCUUACCGGGACCGACAGCAAUAUGAAGGCCAGGCUGAAGACUUUGCCGGAUUAGCUGAGAGGUGGUGCAUGGCCGUCGUCAGUUCGUACUGUGAAGCAUCCUGUUAAGUCAGGCAACGAGCGAGACCCACGCCCACAGUUGCCAGCGUACUCUCCGGAGUGACGGGUACACUGUGGGGACCGCCGCUGCUAAAGCGGAGGAAGGAAUGGGCAACGGUAGGUCAGUAUGCCCCGAAUAUCCCGGGCUACACGCGAGCUACAAUGGUUGGUACAAUGGGUAUCUACCCCGAAAGGGGACGGGAAUCCCCUAAAACCAAUCUUAGUUCGGAUUGAGGGCUGCAACUCGCCCUCAUGAAGCUGGAAUCCGUAGUAAUCGCGUUUCAACAGAACGCGGUGAAUACGUCCCUGCUCCUU